rnacentral:rRNA from 1 species
CCCUUAGAUGUCCUGGGCCGCACGCGCGCUACACUGACAUGUUCAACAAGCCUCCUAGUUCGACAGGAUUUGGGAAAUCUUUGAACGCAUGUCGUGAUAGGGAUAGAUCAUUGCAAUUAUUGAUCUUGAACGAGGAAUUCCUAGUAAACGCGAGUCAUCAGCUCGCAUUGAUUACGUCCCUGCCCUUUGUACACACCGCCCGUCGCACCUACCGAUUGAAUGGUCCGGUGAAAUCUUCGGAUUGAGACUUUGAUUUCUUCACGGAAAACGCUGUUUUAAAAAGUUGAUUAAACCUUACCAUUUAGAGGAAGGUGAAGUCGUAACA